rnacentral:tmRNA from 2 species
GGGGAUGAAUGUCUUGACAGAGGACUCGUCUAAAAAAGGCAAGCCGAGCGUCCUUGAAUCUCGUUAAACUUUGAGGAAAAAAAUAAGCGCCAACUUAUUUAACAAACCUGCGUUAGCAUACGUUUAACGCCAUCUUCACCGCUAACUCCCAAUAGGCGGAUGAAGGUGUCAUAUUAUUGGGAUAGAUGAUUUUUCGCCCCUAAAAUCAUUGAGGCAAUGGGGAUAAGAUAAUUAAUUUUUUUCUGCUUCAUAUUUAAUUAUCCGAAAAUAAAAACAGAAUAAACUUGUAGAAUUAUUUUAGCCGAUCUUUUGGACGGGGCUUCAACGCCCCCAUCUCCACAC